rnacentral:miRNA from 1 species
UAAGGCUGAGUACUACAUCUA